ACGGGUGAGUAACGCGUGGGGAUGUACCCAAAGGUUCGGAAUAACUCAGGGAAACUUGAGCUAAUACCGUAUGUGCCCGAGAGGGGAAAGAUUUAUCGCCUUUGGAUCAACCCGCGUCAGAUUAGCUAGUUGGUAGGGUAAUGGCCUACCAAGGCGACGAUCUGUAGCUGGUCUGAGAGGAUGAUCAGCCACACUGGGACUGAGACACGGCCCAGACUCCUACGGGAGGCAGCAGUGGGGAAUAUUGGACAAUGGGCGCAAGCCUGAUCCAGCCAUGCCGCGUGAGUGAUGACGGCCUUAGGGUUGUAAAGCUCUUUCGACGGGGACGAUAAUGACGGUACCCGUAGAAGAAGCCCCGGCUAACUUCGUGCCAGCAGCCGCGGUAAUACGAAGGGGGCUAGCGUUGUUCGGAAUCACUGGGCGUAAAGCGCACGUAGGCGGAUUGUUAAGUCGGGGGUGAAAUCCUGAGGCUCAACCUCAGAACUGCCUCCGAUACUGGCAAUCUCGAGUUCGGAAGAGGUUGGUGGGACAGCUAGUGUAGAGGUGAAAUUCGUAGA
rnacentral:rRNA from 1 species